rnacentral:rRNA from 1 species
GACGAACGCUGGCGGCGUGCUUAACACAUGCAAGUCGAGCGGAAAGGCCCUUUCGGGGGUACUCGAGCGGCGAACGGGCGAGUAACACGUGAGUAAUCUGCCCUGGACUCUGGGAUAGCCACCGGAAACGGUGAUUAAUACCGGAUAUGACACCUUUCUGCAUGGUGGGGAGUGGAAAGUUUUUUCGGUCCAAGACGUGCGCGCGGCCUAUCGGAUUGUUGGUGAGGUAAUGGCUCACCAAGGCUUGGACGGGUAGCCGGCCGGAGAGGGUGACGGGUCACAAGGUGACUGAGACACGGCCCAGACUCCUACGGGAGGCAGAAGUGGGUAAGAUGGGACAAUGGGCGGAAGCCUGAUCCAGCAACGCCGCGUGGGCGAUGACGGUCUUCGGGUUGUAAACCUCUUUCAGUGCCGACGAAGCCUCUUGUGGGGUGACGGUAGGGGCAGAAUAAGGACCGGCCAACUACGUGCCAGCAGCCGCAGUAAAAC